GAUCCAAUUUUCUGCCACCGAAUACAUUAGCAUGGGAUAAUGGAAUAGGACCCUGUCCUCCUAUUUUCAGUUGGUUUUGGCAGCGCGAGGACUAGGGUAAUGAUUAAUAGGGAUAGUUGGGGGCAUUAAUAUUUAAUUGUCAGAGGUGAAAUUCUUGGAUUUAUGAAAGAUUAACUUCUGCGAAAGCAUCUGCCAAGGAUGUUUUCAUUAAUCAAGAACGAAAGUUAGGGGAUCGAAGACGAUCAGAUACCGUCGUAGUCUUAACCAUAAACGAUGCCGACCAGCGAUUAGGAGACGUUGAAUACAAAACACCACCAUCGGUGCGGUCGUCCUUGGCGUCUCGGUCCUUCACGGGGCCGGGGCGCGGGGGU
rnacentral:rRNA from 1 species